ACAGCGCGCUUGCGCGAGCCGGGGCCGCUCCGCCAGCUGCGCAUGCGUCCUCGCGCCGGGAGCGCUGCUGUACGGCCGCCGGGCGAGGCAGGCAGGCUAGUGGACCUGUUGAUACUGGCUCUGCCGAAUUAGCUAGUAAGAUGCAGUAGAGCUCUCUCUGUCUCCGUCUGUUGGGUGCUGCCUAGGACGCGGUAACAGAGGGAACAGAAGUUCGUUCCUCACGGUUUGGAGGCUGGGAAAUCCAGCAUCUACCAGCAUCCCAUGACAGAAGAGCAAGAGAAUCUCGACAGUGCUGUGGUCUCCUUUCACCUCCUUCCACUUCACUGGUUUCUGUUAGGUGCCCCAGGGAGAGAAAGGCAGUUUUCCACCUAGACACAGACUCAGAAAGUAUCACACUGCUGAUGACAGAUGGCACAAGAAUCCUAAACCCAGCAAUCCAGCUCUAUCCAGAUCCCAAGGGGAUAUGGCUAAAAGUAACUGGAUUAGACAGGAGAGGGAUUUGUACACUAAGUAGUCCAACGUGGUGAUUAAUCGCAUGUGGCAACUUCCUGGGUUAAGCCAACAUUGGCCAGGUGCCUUCUCUCUACCAUGCUCUGUGCAGGUAUGGAGCAGCUUCAAGUAAACUUUCUACAGUAAAACCUGGAGGUGUGUUUUUUCUUUUUAAAACUUUGUAUUUAUUUACAAAGUAGACAGACAUGAAGAUCUAUCCAAUGGAUCUCUCCUCAAAAGCCCUUCAUCACCAACGGAUAGGCCAGACCCAAGCCAGGAGGUGAGGACUCAAUCCAGGUCUCCCACAUGGGAGAUGGGGACCCAGGUACUUGAGCCAUUACCUGCUGCUGUCCAGUGUACAUUAGCAGAAAACUGGACUGGAAGUGGAGUUGGGACUUGAACCCAGCAGAAGUAUGGGGUAGGGGCUUCCCAGGUGGCAUCUUAACCGCUGUGGCAAAUGCCCACCCCUGGAAGCAGACUUUUCAGCCAUUUCUUCCUCUGCCCUUGUAAGUAUACAACCAACAGUGAGUGGCGGUGUGAGAUGUGAACCGGUUGGACAUACAUGCUUCUAAUGCUUAAAUAUCAGUUCUCCCAGCCGAGCUUUGCCAAGUGGUUCAUCCCGGAACAGCUGGCCAGAAGCACUGUUUUCAGGUCCCCUCUGUAUCUUCUCUUCUUCCUCCCUCCUUUUUCUCCAAAGCGCACUUCUUUCACCCUGAGUCUCAGGGCUAGGCUCGCUUAGACCAGGGACACCCCUGUGAGUGUCAGUGUGACAAAGCAAUGCUGGAGAACUUCUCCCAAGGUGCCGUCCAAACAGACCCAUCUGUGCUAAGGAGCUAACAUGUCUGAUUCUACAUUCUGGAAAAUGUCUGUAUUUCCAUCACCAACUGAAACUUUGCGUGCUCAGCUUCUAUGUGCAGCAGCGGGAGCCGUGACUUCAACACGGGCACUGGGAAUGCACUUGUAAACACUGAGCGAGGGUGUGCAGCUGUGAGGACAAGCUAGCAGAGUCCUCUGCUCUUCGGGCUGGCAACGCCACAAUGAUUUAAAAUCUCAAAUUCUUGGACCCUCCCUGGAGAGGAUGGAGCCCUAUUCUCCUGCCCUUGAGUGUGGGCUGGGCUGUGCGACUCACCUCGAACACACAUGGAACAAAGAAGGGAUGGUGUGUCACUUUGGAGACGUGGUGAGCUGCUGUGUCAUGACAGAUCUGCAAGGCCAGGAGCUGAUGCCUCCUCUCUCAGUCCUGUGUGCAAGCCACCUAGGAGGCCUCUUCACAUGACUGCAACCCCAGGACACAUUCUGAGCCAGAACCACCCAGCUAAGCAACUGCCACCUUCCUGACUCUCAGAAAUGGUGUGUUUCGUGAUUUGUGAUGCUUGUGAUUUGAAGCUGCUACAUCUAGGAGAAAUUUGUUAAACAGCAAUACGUCCUAUAUACACCUCCCUGAAGUUCGCCUUGCUGGAAAUCACCUCUCCCACCCCUCCACUUGGUGGCGCUGCUGUGCAGCUGCACACCCACACAAAGUCUCACUAAGAGGAAGAGGGACAUCAGGGCCGUGGCCACUGCUGCACAAAUUAUCCAGCUGCUCUCUGGAUUCAUGUGAGUUAAGCAUUUUUACCUUUUAAAUACACAAUUCAAUUCUGGUAAGCAUGUAAUUUUUCACAAAUACUAAGGAAAAGCAUGAUUUGUCCCAAGAGCCCAUUGAUAUCACACUUUAUCUUAUUAUGAUGCACGUGGAUGGUUCACUCCCCUACACACAUGUGGGUGAGCUUGAGGAGACCAUGGAUUGUAUCAUAUUCAUACCUAUUCUUGAGUCUUUUUGGAGUUACCAGUGGAGAAUGAAUGGAUACAGGAAAUCCGAAAGCCCCGGGAUGAAACAGAAGUGUUUUGGGUUUUAGAUUUCUCAAGUCUGUUUUUGAUUGCAUCUGGUAGGUGGGGGUAGACAGAGUGGACAAGAAUUCCAGGUAGGGGGAAGAUGAGUAUGCACACAUACACACAUACACACACAUGGGCACACACACACACACACACACCAUGUAUAUAUGGCAGGGCUCCUGCAACCAGAGGAGCGUUGAGGCAAUGUGAUGCAAAUGCUGGCAGUUGGGGGCAGGUCAGGUGGACAGUCUAUGUGACAGGGCUGGUGCUGUGGUGCAGUGGGUUAAAUCCUCCACCUGUGGUGCCAGCAUCCCAUGUGGGCACCAGUUCGAGAUCCAGCUGCUCCUCUUCCCAUCCAGCUCUCUGCUCUGGCCUGGGAAAGCAGUGGAAGAUGGCCCAAGUCCUUGGGCCCCUGCACCCGUGUAGGAGACCCGGAGGAAGCUCCUGGCUCCUGGCUUCGGAUCGGCACAGCUCCAGCCAUUGUGGCCAUUUGGGGAGUGAACCAGUGGAUGGAUGGAAGACCUUUCUCACUGUCUCUCUCUCUCUGUAACUCCACCUCUCAAAUAAAUAAAUUAAUUUAAAAAAUACUUAAAAACCCAAAAAACAAACAACAGCAGCAAAAAAACAAAGUCUAUGGGACCCUGAAGGCUGGCAAACUCUGUAAGAAGGAGACCCUAUUUCUGUUGGGAAAAGUGAUGAGUUGGGUGGGAGCCAGGGCUUCUCCUAAUGGAUGGGAGAGAAUUCUACGUGGGCCGUUUCUGUAAAGGCACAGACAUUCUUUGUUCCGACUGUCUUUUGAAGGAUGUUUUAUGGUAAACAGCCCUGAAAAUAGAGCUGUUUCUCGCUGGGAAGCAGGGGGCAGGUUUUUUUGCUGUCCCAGAUAGUAAAGGUAGUAUCUGCCUUAGGCUGAGCAGGUUGCCAUUUAAAAGACCGGGUUUGGAGAGAUCAUUGCCUACCAGUUAAGAUACGAGGUAACACAUCUCACGUCAGAGUACUGGGGUCCAAUUCCCAGCUCUGGGUCCUGACUCUAGCUUCUUGCCAACCCAGACUCUGGGAGGCAGCAGUGAUGCUUCAAGCAAUUGGGUUCCUCGCUCCCACGUAGGAGACCUGGAUUGAAUUCCAGGCUCCAGGCACUGGUCUCCCCUACCCCCAGCCAUUGGGAGCAUUAGGGGAGUAAAUCAGCUGAUGGAAAUUUCCCUCCUCUCCCCCCACCCCAACUCCCUGCCUCUCGAAUAAAUGAAACAAUAGUGCUAAUGAAAGACCAGGGUUAUUUAAGCUCAGAGUUUCCUAGCUAUGAUGCCUAUGCACUGAGGGUGCAGAAUCUGCCCGGGCAGCUCCAUGUUGUUCCCAUGGGACAUCAGGGGUAAGGAAAACUGACACAAACAUGAAACCCAAGGUCACUGCUGCAAAA